ACGAUCGUAAUACACAAACUGCAGAAGACAGGAUUAGCGGAUCGUUCCGGAUGUACCACAACACCGCGUCAACAGACUGGGAUAUAUUUUUACAUUUACAGCGACUUGCAAAUGAGGAAACACAAGCAAAGCGAUAUAACGAGCGGAGAACAAUACAAGCAGCGCUACUAUACAAGAUCUUUAAGUUGAGAUCUAGAGAAGCAAAGUGCGCAGAGGAGGUGUUUGUUUUUUUUUACGAUAAUGUGGGGUUGGAAUUUUAGGGUUUCGGCGUACAGAUUUACUGUAUCUAACCCUUUGUUGUGUUACGUGGUGAGGAUAUAUUUUUGGGUGCAGAAUUCCAAGCGCAUACGGUCCUGGAUAUUCGCUCAGGAACAAAUUUUCCAUGUCUCCAAAAAAAAAAGAAAAAAAAAGGGACAUUUGAUUAAAGGCUAAUAACAAAAGAUGGAUGUGAGUGACAUACUUCAAAGCUUCAAAGCGAUUGUUAGGAUCGAUGUGGUGUGUUUUAACAGAGAGCAAAGGUGUUUGUCGGUGUGCUUUCAUCUUGUACUGGAUUCUGUAUAUGUGUGUGUGUGUGUGUGUGUGUGUGUGUGUGUGAGAGAGAGAGAGAGAGAGAGAGAGGAGGCAGACAUUAGAGAUGAGGGCCUUGCUAUCAUUAACCUUCCUCUCUGACCCAAUGCUCUGCCUGGCUGCUGAAGAGGCAGUACAUUUCUCACUACACACACUACAUCAAAGAUCUCACAGACACACACACACACACAUAAAAUGCAAAAAAAAAAAAAAAUGUAUGAACAGGAGUGUAAGGUCAGAUAUGAAGCCCGUGUGACAAAGAAAGCCCGAGUUUCAUCAACAUGAACAUACAUCCUUAGUAACUUCCUGUUCAGCGUCGUGGUGCGUUAAAUUAGGCUGCUAAUUUGGUUUAUAUUUUGGGAAAUAGAACUAGCUAAAUUUGUUCUAAAAUGUUCGCAGGUGAAAAUAAUAAUUGUUUGAGGAGGAUUAAAAAGAAAAAAGUCCCAAGUACAUCUCCAAAACAAAACAAAAACCUCGACGCCAAUGGACCUGGUGGAUGUCUCCACUAGCAGCAAGUCUAGCUGUUCUUGUUACUAAAUCGUAUGCCUAAAAUACCUCUAAAAGAACUCCAGCGUACGUAAAUACACACAGAUCUGUUUUACUGUUGCCAUUCAUUUUAUUUCUAUUACUUCUAUUGUAUAGGUAUUUAUGGAAAUUAUUCUUUUCUUUUUUCUUACUUUCUUUGAUCUUACUCAUCCUACUUGUGCUGCUGUGUCAAUCUGAAUUUCCCCUACGGGGGAUCAAUAAAGGUACAUCUUAUUUCAUCUUAUCUUAGAUACUACUUCAAACAGGACGGAAGCUAUUGAAGGAAAACAUAAUGGCUAAGGUAUAGAAGAGAAAAAAGAGGGAAACAAAA
ensembl:lncRNA